UAAGGGUAUAAGGUUAGUGCAUGUGCGGAUUGUAACUAGUAGUUAGGGAGCUUUGAUGUAGUCGGGUUAGUAAGCCUACGCCAGUGUCCAGUGGUAGGAGCCACUAAUGUAUGACUUAUACUAGGGGGUGACCUUUUCUUAUUUCUUAUUUCCUGUUUUUUAAUUUCAUAUUGCUCUUAUUUUCAUGGCUCCCUUAGCUCUAUUUUUAUUAUUUUUCAUUUCUUAUUUCAGUUAUACCACCCAUUCUGUUUCAUAUAUUAUUAUGACCUUGUUAACCAUUCAUUAUCUUGAGCCGGGGGUCUAUUAGAAACAACCUCUCUAAUUUUUCGAAAGUAGCGGUAUGGACUAUGUACAUUUUACCCUCUUCAAACCUCACUUGGUGGGAUUACAUUGAAUUUGUUGUUGUUGUAAAAAUGAGAAAAAAAAAAAAUCAAGUAAAGGAUUAAAUAAAAAAAGAAAAGGAAAACAUAUAUGGUCAUACUUGGGCCAAUGGACUUUCAAGCCCAAUCUGCUGAAUGAAACAUAAGGGGAAGUUUAGAUUCCCCAUGCAAAACGCAGCAGCAGGAAGCAGCAAAGGGAGAAGAAAAAAAGAAAAGAAUUAACCAAUCAUUUAUUUUAGCAACUUUGCAUUACAUGUUUUGAUUGUCUUGCGUUUUCUGGAGGAGCACACACAGGGGACUCAACUAGUGGGAAAAUACUUAAAAGAGAAGUAGAAAAAAGAAGACUGUUGUAUCCUGGAGGGGACAAGUUAAGAAGAUUACUGCUGCACCGGUAAAACAUUUGCUGCAAUAGGUUUGAAUCUCCCUAAAGAGAGCGAGAUAUUCGCGCCUCAGCCGAAGAAGACGACGACAUUCUUUUCUUUUUUCUUCACUUGUAAUUUUCAGUUAUAGUAUUUUUUUUAAUUUCACCAACAUUAAGUUAUUGGAUUGUAACCUUUACACCUUCGGCUUGACCAAAGAAUAGUAUAUAGACAACAACGUUAUGAGAAAAUCAACUAUAAGGUUGUUUUAAUGGAUUGAAAGUAUAAGUUGUCAA